UACGUAGGGGGCAAGCGUUGUCCGGAAUCAUUGGGCGUAAAGCGCGUGUAGGCGGCUAGGUAAGUCUGCUCUGAAAGCCCGGGGCUCAACCCCGGGAGGCGGGUGGAUACUGUCUAGCUCGAGUCCGGAAGAGGAGUGUGGAAUUCCUGGUGUAGCGGUGAAAUGCGCAGAUAUCAGGAGGAACACCAAUGGCGAAGGCAGCUCGCUGGGACGGUACUGACGCUGAGGCGCGAAAGCGUGGGGAGCGAACAGG
rnacentral:rRNA from 1 species